AGCUAUAUGAACUAAUAUAUAGUUAUUUCUGCUCCAUGAUUGUUAAAUAGCCGCAGUACUCUGACUGUGCAAAGGUAGCAUAAUCAGUUGGCUUUUAAUUAAAGUCUGGAAUGAAUGAAAACAUGGGUGGAGACUAUCUAAGUGUAUUCAGUUGAACUUAAUAAGUAAGUGAAAAUACUUAUAUAGGUACAAAAGACGAGAAGACCCUAGAAACUUGAAAUGCUUUUUGUUGGGGCGACAAAACUACAAUUAACUAGUUUUUAAGACGUGACGUGAUGAUGAAAGAAUAAGUUACUCUAGGGAUAACAGCAUAAUUUUAUUAGUUUGUGACCUCCAUGUUGGACUAGGUAUUAUAUUCUUUAGGCAAGAAUAUAAAAUGCUCUGUUCGAGCAAGUAUACCUACAU
rnacentral:rRNA from 1 species